GCUUGCUGCUUUGCUGACGAGUGGCGGACGGGUGAGUAAUGUCUGGGAAACUGCCUGAUGGAGGGGGAUAACUACUGGAAACGGUGGCUAAUACCGCAUAACGUCGCAAGACCAAAGAGGGGGACCUUCGGGCCUCUUGCCAUCAGAUGUGCCCAGAUGGGAUUAGCUAGUUGGUGAGGUAACGGCUCACCAAGGCGACGAUCCCUAGCUGGUCUGAGAGGAUGACCAGCCACACUGGAACUGAGACACGGUCCAGACUCCUACGGGAGGCAGCAGUGGGGAAUAUUGCACAAUGGGCGCAAGCCUGAUGCAGCCAUGCCGCGUGUAUGAAGAAGGCCUUCGGGUUGUAAAGUACUUUCAGCGGGGAGGAAGGUGUUGUGGUUAAUAACCGCAGCAAUUGACGUUACCCGCAGAAGAAGCACCGGCUAACUCCGUGCCAGCAGCCGCGGUAAUACGGAGGGUGCAAGCGUUAAUCGGAAUUACUGGGCGUAAAGCGCACGCAGGCGGUCUGUCAAGUCGGAUGUGAAAUCCCCGGGCUCAACCUGGGAACUGCAUUCGAAACUGGCAGGCUUGAGUCUUGUAGAGGGGGGUAGAAUUCCAGGUGUAGCGGUGAAAUGCGUAGAGAUCUGGAGGAAUACCGGUGGCGAAGGCGGCCCCCUGGACAAAGACUGACGCUCAGGUGCGAAAGCGUGGGGAGCAAACAGGAUUAGAUACCCUGGUAGUCCACGCCGUAAACGAUGUCUACUUGGAGGUUGUGCCCUUGAGGCGUGGCUUCCGGAGCUAACGCGUUAAGUAGACCGCCUGGGGAGUACGGCCGCAAGGUUAAAACUCAAAUGAAUUGACGGGGGCCCGCACAAGCGGUGGAGCAUGUGGUUUAAUUCGAUGCAACGCGAAGAACCUUACCUGGUCUUGACAUCCACAGAAGAAUCCAGAGAUGGAUUUGUGCCUUCGGGAACUGUGAGACAGGUGCUGCAUGGCUGUCGUCAGCUCGUGUUGUGAAAUGUUGGGUUAAGUCCCGCAACGAGCGCAACCCUUAUCCUUUGUUGCCAGCGGUCCGGCCGGGAACUCAAAGGAGACUGCCAGUGAUAAACUGGAGGAAGGUGGGGAUGACGUCAAGUCAUCAUGGCCCUUACGACCAGGGCUACACACGUGCUACAAUGGCGCAUACAAAGAGAAGCGACCUCGCGAGAGCAAGCGGACCUCAUAAAGUGCGUCGUAGUCCGGAUUGGAGUCUGCAACUCGACUCCAUGAAGUCGGAAUCGCUAGUAAUCGUGGAUCAGAAUGCCACGGUGAAUACGUUCCCGGGCCUUGUACACACCGCCCGUCACACCAUGGGAGUGGGUUGCAAAAGAAGUAGGUAGCUUAACCUUCGGGAGGGCGCUUACCACUUUGUGAUUCAUGACUGGGGUGAAGUCGUAACAAGGUAACCGUAGGGGAACCUGCGGUUGGAUCACCUCCUUACCUUAAAGAA
rnacentral:rRNA from 1 species